rnacentral:tRNA from 1 species
GGAUUGUGGCUCAGUGGUAGAGCACUUGCCUUAUAUGUGUGACAUACUGGGUUUGAUCCUCAGCAUCA